GCCAGCAGCCAUAUCACCCUGAAACUCCCAGCUGGCAGCCCACUGAAGCUCGGCAGGUGUGAGCCUGGUCAGUAUCUGGCUGAGAGACCUCCUGGGAAAAACAAAGGCUGCUGCUGGAA
rnacentral:rRNA from 1 species